CCUACGGGUGGCUGCAGUGGGGAAUAUUGGACAAUGGGCGAAAGCCUGAUCCAGCCAUGCCGCGUGUGUGAAGAAGGCCUUCGGGUUGUAAAGCACUUUCAGUGGGGAAGAAAGCCUUGGGGCUAAUACCCUCGAGGAAGGACAUCACCCACAGAAGAAGCACCGGCUAACUCCGUGCCAGCAGCCGCGGUAAUACGGAGGGUGCGAGCGUUAAUCGGAAUUACUGGGCGUAAAGCGCGCGUAGGCGGUCUGAUAAGCCGGUUGUGAAAGCCCCGGGCUCAACCUGGGAACGGCAUCCGGAACUGUCAGGCUAGAGUGCAGGAGAGGAAGGUAGAAUUCACGGUGUAGCGGUGAAAUGCGUAGAGAUCGGGAGGAAUACCAGUGGCGAAGGCGGCCUUCUGGACUGACACUGACGCUGAGGUGCGAAAGCGUGGGUAGCAAACAGGAUUAGAUACCCCGGUAGUC
rnacentral:rRNA from 1 species